rnacentral:sRNA from 1 species
CUGCUGCGGAGAGAUUAAGUGAAUGUGACUAUCAAUACCCGCGGCGGUCAGAAUCAAAUGUUCACCGGAAAUAGCAUCAGUGCUGACGCCCACCACCAUGCCAGGUGUCACGCCAUCCAUCACGCCUGGGUUGCCGCUUUUACCUAUCCCGGCAAUUUUGCCAUCACGGAUGCCAACGUCAGCUUUAAUCACCCCUAAGCGGGCAUCAACAAUAGUGACGUUGGUUAUCACUAAAUCCAGUACGCCAUUAUCACGGGUUAGAUGGUUAUUGGCACCCAUCCCAUCGCG